UACGGAGGGUGCUAGCGUUGUUCGGAAUUACUGGGCGUAAAGCGUACGUAGGCGGUUACUCAAGUCAGAGGUGAAAGCCCGGGGCUCAACCCCGGAACUGCCUUUGAAACUAGGUAGCUAGAAUCUUGGAGAGGUCAGUGGAAUUCCGAGUGUAGAGGUGAAAUUCGUAGAUAUUCGGAAGAACACCAGUGGCGAAGGCGACUGACUGGACAAGCAUUGACGCUGAGGUACGAAAGCGUGGGGAGCAAACAGG
rnacentral:rRNA from 1 species